rnacentral:rRNA from 1 species
UAUGGCCUACGGGGGGCAGCAGUGGGGAAUAUUGCACAAUGGGGGAAACCCUGAUGCAGCAACGCCGCGUGAAGGAAGACGGUUUUCGGAUUGUAAACUUCUGUUCUUAGUGAAGAAAAAUGACGGUAGCUAAGGAGCAAGCCACGGCUAACUACGUGCCAGCAGCCGCGGUAAUACGUAGGUGGCAAGCGUUGUCCGGAAUUACUGGGGGUAAAGGGAGCGCAGGCGGGAAGCCAAGUCAGCUGUGAAAACUACGGGAUUAAAUUGUAGAAUGCAGUUGAAACUGGGUUUCUU